rfam:Parcubacteria bacterium GW2011_GWA2_38_27 TS88_C0017, whole genome shotgun sequence.
AAUUAAAUUUACAGGCGAAUGGUGGAUGCCUUGGGAUAUCGAGGCGAAGAAGGGCGUGGCGUGACUGCGAUAAGCUCCGGGGAGGUGUCUAGCAACCUUUGAUCCGGAGAUUUCCGAAUGGGGAAACCCAUCCCGAUGAAAGUCGGGAUACCCGGCCCGUUAAGGGCAUAGGGAGCGAACCCGCUGAAGUGAAACAUCUCAGUAAGCGGAGGAAAAGAAAAAAACGCUACGGCGCAAGCCGAAGCAAUAUUCCCUUAGUAGUGGCGAGCGAAAAGGGAAUAGCCCAAACCUCAUUAUUUAUAAUGAGGGGUUGUAAGAGCACAGCUUCCCGCCCUCUAAGCCCGUGGAAUAUGUAUUUACUUAAUUUAAGGAAUAAAUCUUAAAAAAAGUAAUUGCAGAAUUCAACGAGCAUAGAGGGCGGGAGGGAGAGCAUUUAGGCAAGUUGGUUAGAAGAAAUUUCCUGGAAAGGAAUACCAUAGAGGGUAAUAGUCCCGUAUUUUAAAAUCAGUUUGCGCUCCUUGCUGUUUUUCUUGAGUACCGCAGAACACGAAAAUUUUGCGGGAAUCCGGCCGGACUAAUCGGCCAAGGCUAAAUACUACGAUAUCCCCGAUAGUGAACUAGUACCGUGAGGGAAAGGUGAAAAGUAGGGAGGUGAUCCCGAUGAAAUAGAACCUGAAACCAUUUGCUUACAAGGAGUCAUAGCCCCGCCCUCUAAGCGCGUGGAAUAUGUAUUUACUUAAUUUAAGGAAUAAAUCUUAAAAAAAGCAAUUACAGAAUUCGACGAGCAUAGAGGGCGGGGUGGUGGCGUGCCUAUUGAAGAAUGAGCCAACGAGUUCUGACAUUCAGCUAGUCUAAGCCCUUAUGGGGCAGAGGCAUAGCGAAAGCAAGCGUUAAUAGCGCGUAGCCAAUUUAUUUGGCGGGCUGUGUGUCAGAGACCCGAAGCCAAAGCGAGCUUGCCAUGGCCAGGGUGAAUCCCGAUGAAAAUCGGGAGGAGGCCCGAACCCGUGAGUCGUUCAAUGCUCUGGGAUGAGCUGUGGUAAGAAGUGAAAAGCUAAUCGAGCUUGGUAAUAGCUGGUUCUCUCCGAAAUAUCCUAUGGAAUAGCGUUUCGCGUUUUUGCGGAGGUAGAGCACUAGAUGGAUUUUCGUGGUCUUUGACCAGAUAAUCCAACUAAACUCCGAAUGCCGCAAUAUCAAUCUCGUUAGAGAUUUAUCUUUAACGGGGUGAAGACGCGGGGCAGUAAGACUGUGGGGGCUAAGCUCCAUGGUCGAGAGGGGAAGAGCCCAGAUCUUCAUCUAAGGUCCCUAAACCUGGACUAAGUGUAUCUUAAGGAAGUGAAACCCCAUUGAUAGUUAGGAGGUUAGCUCAGAAGCAGCUAUCCUUUAAAAAGUGCGUAAUAGCUUACUAACUAAGGGAUUUCGCGCCGGAGAUUUACGGGACUAAAGUCCAGUACCGAAGAUAAGAUCCCGCCCUCUAUGCUUUGUGUUCUAUGGCAAAAUAAAAAUCAAAUUAGUUAUUCUUUAAAAUUAGUUUAGUUUUAGAACAUAAAGUUUAGAGGGCGGGAGGUAGGAGAGCAUUUUUAGCGCAGAGAAGCUCCGCUGUGAAGCGGUGUGGAGCGCUAAGAAGAGAGAAUGUUGGCAUGAGUAACCACAAUUCCGCUGAAAACGCGGAACACCGAAAACCCGAGGUUUCCUUGGCAAUGACAAUCAGCCAAGGGUUAGGCGGACCUAACCCGAUCCCGAAAGGGCGUAGGGGAUGGACAGCCGGUUAAUAUUCCGGCCCUUUCUCGUUGAUUUUUUAAGAGCGACGCAAUCAAAAUUUCUAAGAAGAUUAUUGGAUUUCUACCCAGCCCUCUAAGCGCGUGGAAUUAGUAUUAUUUUAGUUCAAGAUUAAAAAUUUUGAGAUAAAUAUUUACAAAUUCGACGAGCAUAGAGGGCUGGGGCCUUAGCGACAAGGUUGCCUGGAAAAACUCUUAAAGAGCUAAAUCAGCGGGAAAACCGUACCGUAAACCGACACAGGUGGGUUGGCGUAAAUGCGCCAAGGUGAACGGGCGAAAGCUCCUGAAGGAACUCGGCAAAAAAGUAGGCGUAACUUCGGAAUAUGCCUUGCCGCUCCUCACUUUUGUUCGGAGCUACGUUGGAUUAACGCAGAACUAUACGCCGAACACCGCUGAAAUUUUCAGCGCGGUUUAGCGUAAUAUUCGGCGUCAUUUUAGCGUAAUAGCGACGAGCGGAAGCGAGGAGCGGUCGCAGCGAAAGUACCCCUGGCGACUGUUUAUCAAAAACACAGGUCCCUGCUAACUCGCAAGAGGAUGUAUAGGGGCUGAAGCCUGACCAGUGCUGGAAUGUUAAUCCCGUCGGUUAUCCGCUUCGUGCGGAUAGCUAAAUGGGUGAAGCACCAGUGAACGUCGGCAGUAACUAUAACUGUCUAAAAGUAGCGUAAUCCCUUGCCAGGUAAGUUCUGGCCCGCAUGAAAGGCUUAACGACUUGGGGACUGUCUCCAGGAGCAACCCGGUGAAAAUACAAUAAGCGUGAAGACGCGCUUUACCUGCGGCUAGACGGAAAGACCCCGGGAGCUUUACUGUAUCCAGAUAUUGAGUUUUGGAAUUGGAUGCGUAGCGUAGGUGGGAGGCUUUGAGUUCCGCUUUUCGGAGCGGAAGGAGCCGUCAAUGAAACACCACUCUUCCAAGUCCUUAAUCCUAAUUUUGCUCCUCACUUGCGUUCGGAGUUUACACAAAAAAAUACAGAACGGAACACAAAACUAUACAGAAAAAUAUCUGUGUAAAUCUGUUUUCAAAUCUGUGUUAAUCUGUGUCAUAGCGACGAGCGGAAGCGAGGAGCGAAAAACAGUGUCUGGUGGUCAGUUUAAGUGGGGCACUUUUCUCCUAAAGAGUAAUGGAGAAGUUCAAAGGUCGGCUAACUCCGGAUGGAAAUCGGAGUGGUCGCGUAAAGGCAAAAGCCGGCUUUACUGCGAGACGGAUAUGUCGAGCAGUUGGGAAACCAGGACUUAGUGAACCGACGGAUUGUAAUAGAAAAUCCGAAGAUUAUCAGCCAAAAGUUACCCCGGGGAUAGUCCCGCGCCUGAAUUUGGUGACGGGAUGUUGUCCAACCCAUUCGUAAGAGUGGGAGUGCUCCAAAAAAAUAAAAUUUUUUUGGAGAGUACGGCUUAUAACGGUGAACUAUAAGCAGGUCUUCCUAAUAAAUUUAGGUUUUAAGCUUUUAGAAUACCGUGGGAAGUCGGAAGGAAAUAUGAUUUUUUAUAUUUUCCUUCUUGACCCCGUAACGACUUGUCCUAUUUUUUUUAAUUUAGAAAUAAAAAAGAGGGACUUAGUAAGGGUUUAAACUUUGCUAACACGCCGUCGCCCGCAUAUAAAAAUUUAUAUGCAGGAUGAAGAUAUAGUCUAUGCUUAAAUAGCAUGAACAGGCUAGUAGAGCCCGCGAGUCCAUAUCAACGGCUCUGUUCGGCACCUCGAUGUCGGCUCAACGCAUCCUGGGGGUGAAGCCGCUCCCAAGGGUUUGGCUGUUCGCCAAUUAAAGCGUUACGCGAGCUGGGUUCAAACCGUCGUGAGACAGGUUGGUCCUUAUCUACCGCAGGCGUUGAAUCUUGAGGGGAGUUGAUCCUAGUACGAGAGGACCGGAUUGAACUGACCUCUGGUGUGCCAGCUGUUCCGCCAGGAGCAUUGCUGGGUAGCUAUGUCAGGAAGGGAUAAGCGCUGAAAGCAUCUAAGCGCGAAGCCUACCCCAAGAUUAGGAUUCAUAGAUUUCCCGCAGAUUACGGGAUUGAUAGACUGCAGGCGCAAGCCCAGUAAUGGGUUCAACCGAGCAGCACUAAUAAAUCAUCAUUUAACCCU